UACGGGGGGGGCAAGCGUUGUUCGGAAUUACUGGGCGUAAAGGGCUCGUAGGCGGCCAACUAAGUCGGAUGUGAAAUCCCCAAGCUUAACUUGGGAACUGCAUCCGAUACUGGAUGGCUUGAAUCCGGGAGAGGGAUGCAGAAUUCCAGGUGUAGCGGUGAAAUGCGUAGAUAUCUGGAGGAAUACCGGUGGCGAAGGCGGCAUCCUGGACCGGCAUUGACGCUGAGGUGCGAAAGCGUGGGGAGCAAACAGG
rnacentral:rRNA from 1 species